ACCCAGGCCCAGGAGCUUCCGUGACUCAUCUAUCCAAGAUCACACAAAAUCCUGGUGUCCCUCCGCCCUGGACCGGCAGCGUCGGGGACAGAAAACCAAAACACAGGCAAAUUGCCAAACCACACAGCCAGAGAAGCCAGAAAGCUCCAGGGAGGACCCUCAGUGCCCACAGGGUGGGGUUGGAGGCACCGAGCGACCACCCAGUCCCCCACCCAGCACUGCAGCACUCACCUAGCCCAGCGCCUGGCAGAGGGAAGGGCCCAAUCCCUGUUUGUUCACAGAACGAACGGGGGAGAGAGAACGCCAAUCCACUACCACUGCUGGGAAAGACACCCGGAGUUCUGCACCGCCCACCAGGGGUCUCUCUCCCAGGACCUGUGCUGAGGGUCUCUGGGUUCAAAUCCUUCCCUGAAUUUCAGUGAGGCCUUAAGGAGGAGAAGACCACAGGCCUCCCACAGGAGACAGGAUCAGAGAAGUCAAGCGAUCUCUCCAAAGUCACACAGCAGCGAUCCAAACCCCAGGCAUGCUGGCCCCAGUGCCCCCAGCUCACAACCACUACACCUGGCCCCUCCUCAAAGGCUACCAGUGUUUCCUGAAUGCAUCUCAGCUGGGCUGGGAACAAGGCAUUUGGGCUUCAUAAGCGUCCAUUCCGGAAGAGAGGGCAGGAGCUGCCGCCCACUCCGAUUUCCAAUCAAUCUCACUUGGCAAGCGUUGCUUACUUCAUCUGGGCCUAUGGAAAUUGGAUUCUCAGGUGACCCUGUGGCCAAAGGUGGCCAGACAGGGCCACGACCGCAGCCGGAUCUGGGAGCCGGGGCUCUGAUCUUCCCCGCCCCCCAUGCGGCCUCGGCCCAGCUGCCGGCUGCCAUCCCAGGGAGGCCCUGAGGUUUCCCAGCCAUCCCUUGGCUUUGUUUUUCUGGGCCCUUCCAGGCCCAGAACCAUCCAGAAAAGUCGGUUAGGCCAGGAACAGCUGCCUGGCGCCUCUUGAAUGGCUCAGAUGUGGUGCGCGGUGGGGCCCCAAGCCAAUACACUGCCACUAGGUGAAACGGGCACCAUUAGAGUCACAAAGACCAAUUAAAAUGAGAGGAAAAACAGCCUUCCGUUCUCCCAGGGCACCCCGGCCAGCUGCUCCCUGCUCCCACCUCACUGGCCCCAGGGGCUGCUCCCGGCCCGGUUUCCAGCCCGGCUCCCUCCUGCGCCCGGCCACCUGCCUUUGACAGAGUCAAUAUUGACGCCUGAGAGGCCUCCUGCUCAGGCGAGUGAGGGCUGAGCGGGUGGAGGGGCGGGGAGAGGCAAACAGCUCCUGGAUUUUCGACUCAAUUGCUGCGCGUAGAGAUGAGAAAUUGCCUUUCUGACCCAAAACCGGAGUUCACAGCUGCACUUCAUUACCGAUUUCUCCAGGA
rnacentral:lncRNA from 1 species